UUAGAUCGAGAGAGAGAGAGAGAGAGAGAGAGAGAGAGAGAGAGAGAGAGAGAGAGAGAGAGAGAGAGAGAGAGAGAGAGAAAGGGAGAGGUUAUAAUUCUCACUCGUCUCCAAACCCCAUGCUUCUUCAGCCCCGUAAGAAAGAAAAUGGAAGUCAAAUAGAGAAAAAUAGCAGAAACUAAACUAAACUCCAUUCCUGUGUUGUUUUUGUGAGAAUGAUGUCUAUAAUGAAUUCCAAGCUCAGACUCGCCCUUGUGUUGUGUUACUAGCGAUACAGAAUUAUAGUAGAAAGAUGUAAUGAUGGAAGCAAGAAACGUACAUAUAAUAUUAUUGUUAUUAUUAUUAUUAUUAUUAUUAUUAUUAUUAUUAUUGUGUGUGUGUGUGUGUGUGUGUCAAACGUCCGCUGUGACUAUUGUGCCUCAUUAUGCUGUAGUAUUGUAACCUUUCUUCCUCCUCCUCCUCCUCCUCCUCCUCCUCCUCCUCCUCCUCCUCCUCCCCCACACAUUCUUCUCUUGUUUUCCUUUAUUCUUUUUGUUUCACUUGUUACUCUGUCACUUUCUUCUUCUUCUUCUUUUUCUUUUUCUUCUUCUUGUUCCCUUCGACUUAUGACCCCAAUGUUGCAGCGUUUAAAUCAAUCAAUCAAUCAAUUAAUCAAUCAGUCAGUUAAUUGAUCAGCCAUCCCUCCUCCUCCUCCUCCUCCUCCUCCUCCUCCUCCUACUACUACUACUACUACUACUACUACUACUACUACUACUACUACUACUACUACUACUAUUCAGUAAACACGUACCGUACUAUUAUAACGUUCAGUAAACAUUAUAAUAGAGAGAGAGAGAGAGAGAGAGAGAGAGAGAGAGAGAGUGAGUUUUCUUCUGUAACUCAAAAUGGUAUUACUCGCUAUACACACAACAGUAGGCAUGUUUCCCCAUCUCUUAUUCCUAUCACUGGUGUCAAAGCGCGCGGUUUCGUUGAGGGAAGACCAAGAUGAAGGUCACAAUGGUCAGAAAUGUCUCGUGGCGUAUGUUUUGAUGUUUUGAUCUUUUCUUCUUGUCUUCCUUUUUCUUUAUCUACUCUUGUUCAUCAUAUUCAUCUUCCUUUCUUUCUGUUUUCAUUUUUGUUUCCUCAUCUUCAUCUUUCUUUUCUUCUUUUUUUUCUUUCUUUCUCAUAGUUUUUUUCCUUCAUCUUUAUCAGUCUUCCUUAAUUCUUUGUUUCUAUUUUCAUUUAUGUCAUCAUUUUCAUCAUUCUUUUCUUAUUUUUCUUCCUUUCUUUCUUUUUUUAAUAUUUGUUUCUUCAUCUUUUCUUUUUUUCUCUCUUUUCGUUUUCUUUUAUUUCUUUCUCUCCUUUCUUUUUCUUUUCUCUCUGUCCUUUCGUUUUCUUCUCUUUCUUUCUCUCCUUUUCUUUUUGUAUGGUCUCCGGUAAGGAUUAUACUUAAAAAAUGUGAGGAAACUUUUUAUUAAUUUGCACGUACGAUGAUUAUAGUGUCGCCGCGUUGAAUUCUAUCUAUUGAAGCUUAACCUGUGUAAAUGUGAGGGAGGGAAAGCGGGAGGGAGGGAGGAAAAAAAAAGAAUAAUGUCAUAAAUACUGCUUUAAUUUAUUCUCGCCAAAAUACAAUAGAUGAAUUAAUGGAUAGAAUAUGACUAGAUGAUAAAAUAGUAUGUAUAUUUUUUAUUUGGAGUUCACUAGAAGGAUGUAAUGAUGGAAAUUGUAUAUGUAUACGUAAAGGAAAUAAAUGAAAAAAGAAUAGUAUCAAAAUAAAUACAAUAUAACGACUAUUUAUUGUAGGAAAUACUAGAGAGAGACAGACAAACAAACGAACAAACUUUAGCAUUCCGCGCGAUCGUGUGUGUCGAGAGAAGAAUAAUAGUAAUAAGAAAAUAGUUUAUCUUCCAAGUAAUGCAGCUAUUGGUGUGUGUGUGUGUGUGUGUGUGUGUGUGUGUGUGUGUGUGUACAUACGUCUGGUGCACAUGUCCAAGGCAAUGUCAGGGAUGUACAUAAGAACUGUAAUUUUGUAUCAUAUAAGCAGAUCAUCUUCCAGCAUUACCAAAUAUACUGUACCAUUAUUAUUAUCC